GACAGAGGAGGCAAGCGUUGUUCGGAAUUACUGGGCGUAAAGGGCGCGUAGGCGGCCUUCUAAGUCAGACGUGAAAUCCCCGGGCUCAACCCGGGAACUGCGUCCGAUACUGGAAGGCUUGAAUCCGGGAGAGGGAUGCGGAAUUCCAGGUGUAGCGGUGAAAUGCGUAGAUAUCUGGAGGAACACCGGUGGCGAAGGCGGCAUCCUGGACCGGUAUUGACGCUGAGGCGCGAAAGCCAGGGGAGCAAACGGG
rnacentral:rRNA from 1 species